rnacentral:rRNA from 1 species
UACGUAGGGUGCAAGCGUUGUCCGGAAUUAUUGGGCGUAAAGAGCUCGUAGGCGGCUUGUCGCGUCGACUGUGAAAACUCGGGGGCUUAACCCCGGGCCUGCAGUGGGUACGGGGCAGACUAGAGUGCGGUAGGGGAGACUGAAUUGGCUGGUGUAGCGGUGAAAUGCGCAGAUAUCAGGAGGAACACCGGUGGCGAAGGCGGGUCUCUGGGCCGUAACUGACGCUGAGGAGCGAAAGCGUGGGGAGCGAACAGG